rnacentral:lncRNA from 1 species
CGACGCCUUCCGCGGCUCCGAGGCCAUCGCCACCCUCAGCCUCUCCAACAACCAGCUCAGCUACCUGCCGCCCAGCCUGCCGCCCUCACUCGAGCGGCUCCACCUGCAGGUAGCCCUGCUAACAAUCUCAUCUCCAAGGUGCCCCGAGGAGCCCUGAGCCGCCAGACUCAACUCCGUGAGCUCUACCUCCAGCACAACCAGCUGACAGACAGUGGCCUGGAUGCCACCACCUUCAGCAAGCUGCAUAGCCUUGAAUACCUGGAUCUCUCCCACAACCAGCUGACCACAGUGCCCGCCGGCCUGCCCCGGACCCUGGCUAUCCUGCACCUGGGCCGCAACCGCAUCCGGCAGGUGGAGGCGGCUCGGCUGCACGGGGCGCGUGGUCUGCGCUAUUUGUUGCUGCAGCACAACCAGCUGGGGAGCUCAGGGCUGCCCGCCGGGGCUCUGCGGCCGC